GAAAAUUGCAAAUCAAGUGAAAAAGGACUUGUGCCGCAAGAAGCUACAGUUCUGUUUUCCAAGUAUAUUGCUCCUUUACAUGUUUAAAGCCUGUUUGGUCUAGGAUAGGGCCCCAGCUGUGAUGCCUUCGCUGCUCAGUCCUUGGUAGUGGUGCAUUUCACAUCCUUAAGAGCAGAAGGCCUAUGGAAGCAUCCAAAGAACAACCAAAACACAAAAGGUAGGAAGCAUGCAAGUGAAAUGGUAACAACAACAACUCAGGUGCACAUUUGCCUUUCAGGUCAUUUUGGAUUGGAUCCAAAAAGUGGUCAGCUGAAAACAGCAAUUAAUUUGAACUAUGAGAAAGUUUCUCAGUAUGUAAUUUUUAUUGAAGCAAACGAAAAUCCCUCAUCUGCCACCCAAGUCCAGCGUUCAGGUAACUUUCCUUUCCAGCUUGAAUCAGGGGUGAUGAACACAUGACAUUUGUCUUCUGUAUUUGCAACCAGCUAGAGAAAACACGAUUUUCUUUAACUGAAAGUUCCGGUGUGAAAGAUGACAAGCUGAAGGUCAGGGUUUUGCAGCAGUGCACCGACAAGAGAAGCAGUCUUCCUCAGCAAACGCACGCCCCCACAGGGCCCUACCACGGUCUCAGAGGAGAACGUUGUAGCUGGGCAUUGGGCUCCUGAGCACCAGCUGGAGCACCUGCCUGUCGCUUGCUUGCUACAGCAUAGCCAGCUGGAGAGGGCUCCCUUCCUCCUCCCUCAUCCUCACGCGCAGCACAGAUGCUGCUGUAAGGCCACAGCCCAGUCCAGCCUCUGAAAGCUGUGCUUUGUUGAUGUUUGUUUGACAGGAGCCUGAGCAGUGUCAGAGUUAACCUGCAUUUGUUUAAUAGGUCUGUUUUCUCAAAAUGUGGCAAUGCUGAAAAUCUCAGUGCAAGAUGUAAAUGAAGAGCCAGCAUUUUCGAAUAGCGUCUACUCAGUUCGGAUACUGAACUCUGUGCCGUACAAGUACCCAGUUAUUACUGUUCAGGCCACAGAUCCAGACUCAGGAGAGAACGGCCUUCUGCUGUACAGCUUAGUGCAUCAUGAAACGAAUCAGUUUGACAUCGAUGAAAACACAGGGCAGAUUUUUACAGUUUCUGUAAGAAGAUGGGCUGGAACAGUUUCUCUGCAAGUCCAAGCUGCAGACCAAGGUGGGAGAGGACUUACAGCCCAGACAACUGUCAAUGUAAUCGUUGAUGCCAGUUCCAGUGACAACAUUGUGGUAAUUGUUCUUAAUCAGAUGAUCAAUGCUGUUGAAAGAAAUAUUGCUGAAGUAAAAAGGGUCCUCGAAGAAAUACUUGCAUGGAAUAUAUACAUCAUUGAUUUUUAUUCCAAUGAGUUUGAAAGAAGAGCAAGAGAAAGCACGGAUGUAACCUACUUAAAAAUUAUUGCUGUUGAUGAGGCAGCCCAAGAAAUACCUGCAGAAGACGUAAAAAGAAAACUUACAGAGCAGAAGAUCAUCAUUCAGUCAGAACUGGAAAAAAUAUUUGAAACGUCUGUUACUGCUGACGUAGGAGAGGUUCCUGCUGCCUCGGUGUCCUCUGAACUCAUUGCAACUAUCGUUCUAAGUGUUCUGCUGGGCUGCACCCUUGUAGCCUUCCUGGUAUACGUAUUUAUUACUAUAGAAAGGAGUAAGAAGCAAAAGUGGUUUGUUGGGAAGAAAACUGAAAUUAUUGAGGGUUUUGAUAAUCCAGCUGUAGCUGACAUAAAUGGAAGUCCAAAAAUCAUAGAGAAACCAGAGCACACGAAUAAUGUGAACACUGAAAUAACAACGUUUACCAGCAUGGAAGACACUCAAGGAGGGGAUGCUGAUAAAGAUGUAUUUGAGGCGGAACAAAAAUGCGAUUAUCUUGAGACACUGCUAUUAGAUUUGGAAAGUGAACAUGAAGGAAACGUAGGAGCCCAGCCUGUUGCAGAAAUUACAACAAAACAGAAUGGCUUUUUGACAGAUAAAAAUGAUGAGCCAGCUCGUCCAUUAACACCUGAUCCCAUAAUACACACUCCGGACAAAGAACUGAAAGGCGUGAGAUUUUCAGAAGUGGCAGUUAUUUUGGAUACAGAGACUGAACAAGAUGAGCCUGAUAACGAAGACUUAUUUUUCAACAAUAAUUAAAAGAUGCGUGAUGAAGAAACCUUUUCUUUAUGAAAAAUCACAAUGACACUUAUUAGAACAAUACAGAAUGCAGUGAGUAAUAAAAAUACGGGAAUGCUAUCUAGAUUUUAAUUC
ensembl:lncRNA